rnacentral:rRNA from 1 species
GAAGAAUAAUUGUAUUUGUAUAAAUACAAUAGUGGUUAAACACAUAAAAUUCUAAAUAGAUUAUAUAUAUGACAAAAUCUAUUUAUAAGUCUUGACCAAACUACGUAGAAGGCUAGUGUUAGUUAUCUUUAUUGGGUUUAAAGGGUAAGUAGACGGUAAAUUAAACUCUAAAAGAGUACUUAUUUACUAGAGUUAUAUGAGAGAAGGAAGAAUUCCUGGAGUAGAGAUAAAAUUUUUUGAUACCAGGAGGACUGUCAACGGCGAAGGCGUCCUUCUAUGUAAUAACUGACGUUGAGAGACGAAGGCUUGGGUAGCAAACAGGAUUAGAUACCCUAAUAGUCCAAGCAGACAAUGAUGAAUGUCAUACAUUAGAUAGAUUUUAAUGUAUAAACGAAAGUGUAAGCAUUCCACCUCAAGAGUACUAUGGCAA